rnacentral:rRNA from 1 species
UACGUAGGGCGCAAGCGUUAUCCGGAAUUAUUGGGCGUAAAGAGCUCGUAGGCGGUUUGUCGCGUCUGCCGGGAAAGUCCGGGGCUCAACUCCGGAUCUGCGGUGGGUACGGGCAGACUAGAGUGAUGUAGGGGAGACUGGAAUUCCUGGUGUAGCGGUGAAAUGCGCAGAUAUCAGGAGGAACACCGAUGGCGAAGGCAGGUCUCUGGGCAUUAACUGACGCUGAGGAGCGAAAGUGUGGGGAGCGAACAGG